AGCGUGGCUCAGUUGGUCAGAGCGAGGGACUGUCAAUCCCUAGGUCGUCGGUUCGAUUCCGUCUA
rnacentral:tRNA from 1 species